rnacentral:lncRNA from 1 species
AACUCUAUUGACUAAGGGAAUGUUCACCAAACUUGAUUGAGAAUUACUUUUGGGGCACCUGUUAAAAAAAUUCCAGGCCCCUCCCCUAAAGAUCAAAUUUCUGGAGUGACCUGAAAAUCUGUUUACAAACAGUUUAAAUCAUUCUCAUUCCUACUAAGUUGAGAAACUAGGCGCUCAGUGUGAGAAACAUGCUCAGCCGUCCAAACCCAAAGAAUGGACUUAGAGGCAUGAAGAACAGCUCUCCUAAUCAUUCCCCGCUUCUCCUGUGAACAGGAUAUUCAUGACAGACAUCAUUUCAGCCCAGGUAUAAAAGCUGGGUUCCAGGAAUUGGUCUGCUAAAUGGCUGGGAUCUUGUAGGAGUGGUUUCAUUUGCUUCUUGAAAUUCCUAACUUCAGUUCUUGUAAGAGGAGCAUUUACAAAGCCAAUUUUUCCUUGUCCCAUGGGAACUUGCGUAAGCGUGAACAUGCUAGAUGCCUGCUGUGUGGAAGGGAUAGAGUCUCACUGUCGCCCCGCCUGGAGUGAAAUGGCACAAUCUUGGCUCACUGCAACCUCCGCCUCCCUGGUUCAAGCGAUUCUCCAGCCUCAGCCUCCUGAGUACCUGCGACUAUAGACGCACGCCAACAUUUCCUUUCAGAGAGCAACCGUUAGGUUACACAUACGAAGAUAGCCAGACAAAUCACUGUAUGAGAGAAACAACUCAGACGUUUCUUCUAAAAUUCUGCAAUUUGCCUAAAACCAUUUGCUACCAAAUAAAAGUUUUGCCUUGCUGUCGUAAUAGGGCAAGAAGCUUUAAAGGAUAAAGUAUAUUUUGCCUAGUAGGCUUGAGAUAUGGGUUCGUGAGAUGUUCAAUUAACUCUGAAUAAGUGAAUCUGGGAAAACCAGAGGUAGAAGAUGAAUAGAGAUAAUCAAACAAUUUUAAAUUCAAAACUUCAUUUUUGCAAAGAGUUUCAAAUUUAUGCCCCAUCUUUUAAAAAAAUGGAUAAUAAAACUGAAUGUGUUUCAACCACCUUUCUAUUUCUGCUGGCUAACUAAAGAAGAUGCAAAUGAGCAGUAAAAAAAAAGAAAGGCAUCAAAAGAAAGAAGAAAACCCAAUGACUAGGACAUCUCACAUCUGGGUAUCAACCUGUGAACAAUUAGAGAGCUGACUAUAAAAUAUAAUUAAAAGUAAGCAAUAUGUAAAAUAUCUUUAAAACAUUUUUAUUCAUGAAAGCCAUUUGGUUCUCAACAGAAUGGCCUCAUUUAUCCAGAAAUCUCACUAUGUUCAAAAUGACUCAUUUCUAUAGGCUGGUUUUAAUUGUAUUUGUAAGAUAACAUGACCUGGUAUGCAAAACAAAAAGACUUAAGAAUACAAUAUAAAUACUAUCAUGAAUUAACACAGCUUUUUACAUCAUAAAAACCUGCUAAAAAUCAAAAACUUCUGCCACUGUGAUUAUUACUGUAUUAGCAAAUUAUUAAUAGAAGUGUAAAACCCCAAAAAAGCAACUUAAACCAAAAUAACUAAACCUAGACUACUCAACAACAAUAAAAACCCAAAGAGCUCUUUACCAUUAGCUACACUAAUUUUCUGUUUUUCCAGUCAAUUUAUGAGGCAGGAAAUGCGUCUGUGAGAUCCAUAUGCUUUGUUCCCAACGCUAAAGAGAACAAUUUCUACUUCUGUGAAUAUUAAAAUAGCUUCAAUAAUUGUAGGAAAUCUAAAAAUAAAUGGGAAUUAGUACUGUACUGUCACAAAAUGAUUUUAACCAAACUCUUCAAUGCGGUACAAAACUAAAGUGACCUACUUCAAUCUAUUGGGAGUUUCCUAAUUAUUAAACCAAAAAUAAGGAGGGAAUUAUAAUAGCUCUAUUUUCAGUUUUUUAAAAUACUAAACUAAAAAGGUUUGCUUAGAAAUGAACAGAGACGACAGUAACAUGUCAAAAUCUUCUCCUUCGAUAGCAUCCCUACCAAAUGUUUCCACUCUCUUAUCAUCAUAAAUGCAAAACCAAGGUAAGGAUCUAAACACAAAUGAAAUCUAAAUUUACUAGAAUUUUUCCCAUGGGAAAGAAUGCUCUUCAGCAAUUUAAACCUUAAGUAGUCUUAAGAUCAAAAUAAUAGCAGCGUAAUCAAGUAACAGGCUUCCUCCAUAAUGACUUGUACAAAGAAGCAAUCAGGACUUGCAUCCUUCACCCUAAAAAAAAAACUGCUGUGAUUUUAAGAGUAUACUAAAAAUGUAUUUUAUCAAUAUAUGUUAUAGUGCAUAUACAUUUUAUGGUAGGGAAUUAUUACAAUAGGUAGUCCAUAAUUAAGAGAUGCACUUAGAAAUAAAAGA